UGAGGUGUAGCUCAGUUGGCAGAGCGGCUGGCCGUUAACCAGCGCGCCGCAGGUUCGAGUCCUGCCACCUCAG
rnacentral:tRNA from 1 species